rnacentral:lncRNA from 1 species
UGUUCUUUCCAUAGUGGUGUGACAAGUACUUUUCAAUUCAAUUUGUUCAGUGUUAGCUUAGGAAAGCCACAAGAUCCCUUCUAGCUCUAAAACUUUCUUCUUUCUGUUUUUGUAAUAUAAUGUUCUAAUCCAAAGAUAACCUCUAGAAAAUUGAGUCUCAACUCGAAAAUGAAGAUAAUAAGGCUAAAGAUAGUCCCGACAAUGUAAAUCUUUCCUAAAGAGCUCUACAAGGAAGGUUUAUGAAAAUCUUGAGAAUAAAAAUGCAGAAUAAUCAUAUCUUUAUAGAUGGUAUCAAGAUGAAGAAAUUGUAUGAAGAGAAGCAAGAAACCAAAUACUGGGGGAUAUAUUGCACAAGUGUGACUUCAAGAAACCCAAGCCAGUGCAAACAACUCAAAAAAUAACGGAACCAAAGACAGCGAACCUUUCAGGAAAGCUAUGGACAUUUAUCCCCUCUGCUAUCAUUUAUGUUUCUGUAGUCAAGGUUCAGUUAUAUCGCAGUUGAGACAACUCCCUAGAAACAAUGAUCCCUGCUAAAGCUGCUCUAGGAGCACAGGAAUUCCUUUGAUGAGCUCUAAGAGAUUGGUAACAAUACCUCCUGAAGGGCCAUGUUGCUAGGUAACAGCUUGUUUCCUUGGUCACGGUGAAUCCAUGGAAGACCCCCAGAAGAUGCUGCAGAUUCUUGGUGGACAGCUCUGGUAUCCCAUCCAAGGAACAUGAUGAAAAAUGUCUUCAGAAAAAUAGCUUUAUGAAGGGAGUUUUUGCACCCACAAGACAUGUCUGGAAGAUCCUCAGGUCAAAAUACAAGUAGUCGAGAGAUUUGUCCAUCUAAUUCAUCAUACUACUCUGAUCCAAGUGAGACCCACAUUGGAUCAGCUCCAUCAAGGAGAGGAAUAUUUCACCCACGUUUGGAUUCUGGAAUAUCAUCCCUGCUUCCUUCAGAUUCUCGUAAGCACCUCACUUGGCACAAGGUAGAACAACAUGACAUUCAAGGAGGUCAACUGCGUUGCCCAAGAGUAAGAGAAGGACCCUCUGAAGAAGAGCACCUUUUCAGAUAGCUAGUGUGUGCCUUGCCCCCAAGGAAAAGAGUUCCUGAAGAAAACAAAUGGGAAACACAGCUACAAGAAAACUGGGAAGACUGCAAGGUGAGAACUUAAAAAAAAAAAAAAAAAAAAAAAAAAAAAAAAAAACUUUUUUUUUUCCCUAGUCUUUGUUACUAUUGAAGUCUAUUUUGUAAGAGACAAAAGUUACAACUCCUGUUUUUUUUUUUUUUUUUUUUGCUUAUUUUUUCCACUUUUUUUUUUAAAGGCAUACAUAACAAAACUUUUAGCAUCUCUUCAGAGCUUUCUCUACAACUCAGUGCUUGGACUUCUCUAUUACUUCUUCCUCCAUUCUUUUCAUCAUGAUAUGCUACAUGUUUUCUAACUUUUAUUUUAACAUGAUAUUGCUGAAAUUUGACAAAAAGUUUAAAAUACUUGGGAACAAAAUUGUUAAUUUUUUUAAAAAAGUCAAAUGGACAAUCCAUAUCAAUGAGUUUAUGAUGCAAUCUGGAAUCCUUUGAACAAUGCAUCAGGAUGAAACUUUUGAGCAGCCAGCUCAAAUCUAUCCUGGAACAAAUCAAAUUUUUCCACCAGUGAGGGAGCCGGAUUGUCAUUUCCAGGUGCUGAAAGUCACCCUGCUGACUGAGCCACGAGCACUGAAACAUCCCCUGCAGUUAGUCAGCCUGACCACUAUAAAGCUGUGGCGCUGUCACUACUUCACGCUUCUGAUUCCAGCUGGAUCAAAUCAUGCUUAGGCAGAGGACUGAAGAAUUAACUGGGAAAGACAAGUGUUGCUGGCAAUUAAAAGAAUAAGUCAACUACUUCACAACAGAGUGAGAGGCUGAUAUUUUUGUACCAAGGGAUAGAAUUAUACUUGAAAAGUUUAAGAAGCCUUCCAGAAACGAAACAGGCUUUAAAACUCUUUGUUGGCAGACUCCACGUUUGGAUCCCCUUCAAGGAACAGUCCCUUGGUGGAAGCCGCUUUUCUCUCUCCUGGGUUUCCCCUCUGGGGUCCCCUUCCACACACUCUCGUGGAAGCCUGUCUUCCCUCCUAAUCUCCAUCUCUCUAUUCCUUCCACUCAGUGUGGAAGCUGCUUUCCUCUCCUGGAUUCCAUCUUUCUGGAUUCUCUCACUCAGUGUGAGUCAGCGGUUUCUCUCUCCUUCUCCUGUUUCUCUCCCUAAAUGACUUUCUACAAAAAAAAAAUAAAAAAUAAAACUCUUUGUUGAGGACUCUUGAUGCCUCCUUUGCUUCACAGACUUAUAUACCAUAGAAUUAUAAACUUAGGGGAUAGGAAGGAGCUUUAGAGAGGGUCUGGUUUAAAUUUCUUGUUUUAUAGAAAGGAAAAGGAAGUCCAGAAAGAAAACUGACUUGCCCAAAGUUAUGCAAUUUUUCAGGGAAUGAUAAAAAAAAUGGAAUACCAUGUCCCAGUAUGGUUCUGUCUUUUCAAAUUAAGUUUUCAUAUAUAAUGAAUGGAUACAAUCUAAUAAAAAU